GAAAAAAAAAAUAGAAAACAUCAAAAUGAUGCUCUAAAAAUUCUGACUUUCAAAAAACAAAAAACUAAAAAAAAAAAAUCUCUCACUCUGUCGAUUACAAAAAAAUAAAGAGAGAACUCAGUCCAUAACAAUGGAGGUUGAGCUCUUUCGUAUUGGUGAUUCUUCUUUAUUCAACCUCAUAUUUGUUGUUUUGUCAAAGUUUCACUCUAUAAUUAGAUUUAGGAGCCCUUGGUAACUAUUCUUGUUCCCCUUUUCUUCUACCAGAUUUUGACAUCCUAUUAUUUGACUAUCCGAAGGCAGUAGAUAUUGUGGGUGGUAGUCAGCGAUGAUGAUGAUGCACUUGAGUUGAAAGAUCAACUUGCUGCCUACAAUCUUGACUCAUCUCACUAGCAGGUCUACCACCAAAGUCGACAUCACAUUCAUAGCCUUAUUAAAUGCUCUUUCAGAUUUGGUAGCAUAGUAUGAUACCAAAUUUGUUUGUGUGUUUAUUCCAUCGUACCUUGUAUUUUGAACAACAUUGGGAUGUGGGCAUCUUGUCUCUUUACCAAGUGAUUUAGGAUCAAUGUAUUUUGCAUCUUUCAGCCAACGAGAAUUGACAAGACAAAGUGGAAAAUUAGCUUUGUGUGAAUGCUUCAUGGAUGCAAAAAUUUGUCUACAUGGUAUUCCUUUGGUGUCAACCCAACAACAAUCACAUCUAAUGUCUUCCUCAUCAUGAGAAUAAAUAGCCUUACGCUUAGGAUUAGGACUCAUAUACUUUGACACUAGAUAUAAAUCAUAAUUAGGUAAGUUCUUAGACUUUGAAAUAACAUACUUAUC